rnacentral:rRNA from 1 species
UGGGGUGACUGCGUACCUUUUGUAUAAUGGGUCAGCGACUUAUAUUCUGUAGCAAGGUUAACCGCAUAGGGGAGCCGAAGGGAAACCGAGUCUUAACCGGGCGUUAAGUUGCAGGGUAUAGACCCGAAACCCGGUGAUCUAGCCAUGGGCAGGUUGAAGGUUGGGUAACACUAACUGGAGGACCGAACCGACUAAUGUUGAAAAAUUAGCGGAUGACCUGUGGCUGGGGGUGAAAGGCCAAUCAAACCGGGAGAUAGCUGGUUCUCCCCGAAAGCUAUUUAGGUAGCGCCUCGUGAAUUCAUCUCCGGGGGUAGAGCACUGUUUCGGCUAGGGGGCCAUCCCGGCUUACCAACCCGAUGCAAACUGCGAAUACCGGAGAAUGUUAUCACGGGAGACACACGGCGGGUGCUAACGUCCGUCGUGAAGAGGGAAACAACCCAGACCGCCAGCUAAGGUCCCAAAGUCAUGGUUAAGUGGGAAACGAUGUGGGAAGGCCCAGACAGCCAGGAUGUUGGCUUAGAAGCAGCCAUCAUUUAAAGAAAGCGUAAUAGCUCACUGGUCGAGUCGGCCUGCGCGGAAGAUGUAACGGGGCUAAACCAUGCACCGAAGCUGCGGCAGCGACGCUUAUGCGUUGUUGGGUAGGGGAGCGUUCUGUAAGCCUGUGAAGGUGGCCUGUGAGGGUUGCUGGAGGUAUCAGAAGUGCGAAUGCUGACAUAAGUAACGAUAAAGCGGGUGAAAAGCCCGCUCGCCGGAAGACCAAGGGUUCCUGUCCAACGUUAAUCGGGGCAGGGUGAGUCGACCCCUAAGGCGAGGCCGAAAGGCGUAGUCGAUGGGAAACAGGUUAAUAUUCCUGUACUUGGUGUUACUGCGAAGGGGGGACGGAGAAGGCUAUGUUGGCCGGGCGACGGUUGUCCCGGUUUAAGCGUGUAGGUGUGUGUUCCAGGUAAAUCCGGUUCACUUUAACACUGAGGCGUGAUGACGAGGCACUACGGUGCUGAAGCAACAAAUGCCCUGCUUCCAGGAAAAGCCUCUAAGCAUCAGGUAACAUCAAAUCGUACCCCAAACCGACACAGGUGGUC